rnacentral:rRNA from 1 species
AUGCACGCUGGCGGCGUGCCUCAUACAUGCCAGUCGAGCGAACGGACGAGAAGCUUGCUUCUCUGAUGUUAGCGGCGGACGGGGGAGUAACACGUGGAUAACCUACCUAUAAGACUGGGAUAACUUCGGGAAACCGUAGCUAAUACCGGAUAAUAUUUUUAAACGCAUGGUUCAAAAGUGAAAGACGGUCUUGCUGUCACUUAUAGAUGGAUCCGCGCUGCAUUAGCUAGUUGGUAAGGUAACGGCUUACCAAGGCAACGAUGCAUAGCCGACCUGAGAGGGUGAUCGGCCACACUGGAACUGAGACACGGUCCAGACUCCUACGGGAGGCAGCAGUAGGGAAUCUUCCGCAAUGGGCGAAAGCCUGACGGAGCAACGCCGCGUGAGUGAUGAAGGUCUUCGGAUCGUAAAACUCUGUUAUUAGGGAAGAACAUAUGUGUAAGUAACUGUGCACAUCUUGACGGUACCUAAUCAGAAAGCCACGGCUAACUACGUG